AACGAACGCUGGCGGCAUGCCUAACACAUGCAAGUCGAACGAGACCUUCGGGUCUAGUGGCGCACGGGUGCGUAACGCGUGGGAACCUGCCCUUAGGUUCGGAAUAACUCCCCGAAAGGGGUGCUAAUACCGGAUAAUGUCUUCGGACCAAAGAUUUAUCGCCUUUGGAUGGGCCCGCGUUGGAUUAGCUAGUUGGUAGGGUAAAAGCCUACCAAGGCGACGAUCCAUAGCUGGUCUGAGAGGAUGAUCAGCCACACUGGGACUGAGACACGGCCCAGACUUCCUACGGAGGCAGCCGUUGGGAAUUUUGGAACAUUGGCCAAAGGCUUAUUCCGCCAUGCCGCGUGGGUUAAGAAGGCCUUAGGGUUUUAAAGCCUCUUUAACCCGGAUGAUUAUGACAGUAACCGGAGAAUAAAGCCCCGCCUACUCCGUG
rnacentral:rRNA from 1 species